rnacentral:rRNA from 1 species
GCUUGGGAACAUGCCUUGAGGUGGGGGACAACAGUUGGAAACGACUGCUAAUACCGCAUAAUGUCUACGGACCAAAGGGGGCUUCGGCUCUCGCCUUUAGAUUGGCCCAAGUGGGAUUAGCUAGUUGGUGAGGUAAUGGCUCACCAAGGCGACGAUCCCUAGCUGGUUUGAGAGGAUGAUCAGCCACACUGGGACUGAGACACGGCCCAGACUCCUACGGGAGGCAGCAGUGGGGAAUAUUGCACAAUGGGCGCAAGCCUGAUGCAGCCAUGCCGCGUGUGUGAAGAAGGCCUUCGGGUUGUAAAGCACUUUCAGUCAGGAGGAAAGCGUGGUGGUUAAUACCCGUCAUGUGUGACGUUACUGACAGAAGAAGCACCGGCUAACUCCGUGCCAGCAGCCGCGGUAAUACGGAGGGUGCGAGCGUUAAUCGGAAUUACUGGGCGUAAAGCGUACGCAGGCGGUUUGUUUAAGCGAGAUGUGAAAGCCCCGGGCUCAACCUGGGAACUGCAUUUCGAACUGGCAAACUAGAGUGUGA